rnacentral:rRNA from 1 species
UGCCAGCCGCCGCGGUAAUACGAAGGGUGCUAGCGUUGUUCGGAAUUACUGGGCGUAAAGCGCGGGCAGGUGGUCCGUUAAGUCGUUUGUGAAAAUCCGGGGCUCAACCCCGCGAAAUGCAGACGAUACUGGCGGACUAGAGAUCGGUAGAGGCUAGCGGAAUUCCUGGUGUAGCGGUGGAAUGCGUAGAUAUCAGGAAGAACACCAGUGGCGAAGGCGGCUAGCUGGGCCGGUACUGACGCUGAAGAGCGAAAGCAUGGGGAGCGAACAGGAUUAGAUA